rnacentral:rRNA from 1 species
UGGGGAAUUUUGGACAAUGGGCGAAAGCCUGAUCCAGCAAUGCCGCGUGUGUGAAGAAGGCCUUCGGGUUGUAAAGCACUUUUGUCCGGAAAGAAAUCCUUGGCUCUAAUACAGUCGGGGGAUGACGGUACCGGAAGAAUAAGCACCGGCUAACUACGUGCCAGCAGCCGCGGUAAUACGUAGGGUGCAAGCGUUAAUCGGAAUUACUGGGCGUAAAGCGUGCGCAGGCGGUUUGCUAAGACCGAUGUGAAAUCCCCGGGCUCAACCUGGGAACUGCAUUGGUGACUGGCAGGCUAGAGUAUGGCAGAGGGGGGUAGAAUUCCACGUGUAGCAGUGAAAUGCGUAGAGAUGUGGAGGAAUACCGG